AUUCACGUUAACACAAAUUACGUACCUGACUGUACCUUGUAACACCUGGUGGGGGUAAUUCAUACAAAAAUUUGAAUUGCAGAGCUUUCAUUGGACAGUGAGAAGUAAUAUCUAGAUGUCAACGGUUGUAGUGGGCAUUGGUAAUAGAUAGUAGCGUGGCUAAUUAUCUACGUUGUAAGUAAUUAUCUGGAGCAUUUGUUUUAUGCGUAAAUGCCUUUGCUCAUUACUUGCUCCGCAGGUGGCCUUUCAUGUAUGAAAUUGACACUCGACACAGUACAUUGAAUAAUAUCUCGUGAGUCUGUCAAACAAGAAUUAUCUCCCUUUUUGUUAUUCAGAGUCAAUUGUGUGACUCACCUUUAAUCUGCUCAGAAUACCCCGCAUGGACACAAAUGGUGUACUCAAUUCCAUGAGAUAGACAAAGCCAAAGACACAAUCACCUAGACCCCCACGUUGUUCCUUGAGAUAAAGUCGCACAUUGACUAUGUGACCAGCAUCAGAUUUUUGUUCUUUUUUGUGCUCUGAAGUGCUGGCAUGUACUCGAUACAUUGACCAGAUAUCGUAGAAGAAGUAGGAAGCUCCAAACCAAGCAUAAGCUUCGCUCAUAAAAUGUGAUGUAUGAAGGAACGAUCUUGUGCAAGACCACAUGCAAACGAUGGAUCCAGUGACACAACUUAGCGCAGCUUGCACUGCAGACACAACUCUGAAAACGAAAAGUCAUCAACUUUUAAUUGACUCCUUAGGUGCCGUGAGAUGGUAUUUCUUUCGAAGACGUAAACCAGUACGAGUCCUCAGCGCCAUGUGAUUGAGGAAGUCAAAAAGUGAGAGGAAAAAUAUGAAACCCAGGGCAGAUAAACAAGCGCCACGUCUUAAGCUAAUCCUAUC